rnacentral:rRNA from 1 species
ACGCUCGACACCUACGGGAUGCAGCAGUGGGGAAUAUUGCACAAUGGGGGAAACCCUGAUGCAGCGACGCCGCGUGGAGGAAGAAGGUCUUCGGAUUGUAAACUCCUGUUGUUGGGGAAAAAGAGGAUGGUACCCAACAAGGAAGUGACGGCUAACUACGUGCCAGCAGCAGCGGUAAUCUGAGCGGGCUGGCAAGGC